ACUGCUUUUCUUUGAUGUCCCCAAAUAUUGAGGAGCCCGAUAGUUUCAACCCUUUUGGUGAAAUAACUGUCGGGUUUUUUAUU
rfam:Proteus penneri ATCC 35198 genomic scaffold Scfld4, whole genome shotgun sequence.